rnacentral:siRNA from 1 species
GGUUGUCCGGCGAUGGUGGUUA